rnacentral:rRNA from 1 species
AGAGGUCCCGCCUGCCCUGUGACAAAUGUUUAACGGCCGCGGUAUUUUGACCGUGCAAAGGUAGCGCAAUCACUUGUCUUUUAAAUGAAGACCUGUAUGAAUGGCAUGACGAGGGCUUAACUGUCUCCUUUUUCCAGUCAAUGAAAUUGAUCUUCCCGUGCAGAAGCGGGAAUAUAACCAUAAGACGAGAAGACCCUAUGGAGCUUUAGACAAAGACAGUUCUUGUUAAGCACUUCAAAAUAAAGAAAUAAACNUAAAAGAACCCUGCCCUGNCUGUCUUUGGUUGGGGCGACCACGGGGAGAUAAAUAACCCCCACGCGGACUGAGAAUACAAUUCUCACAACCAAGAGUUACAACUCUAAUCAACAGAAAUUCUGACCUUNAAGAUCCGGCAGUGCCGAUCAACGGACCGAGUUACCCUAGGGAUAACAGCGCAAUCCCCUUUUAGAGUCCAUAUCGACAAGGGGGUUUACGACCUCGAUGUUGGAUCAGGACAUCCUAAUGGUGCAGCAGCUAUUAAGGG